ensembl:lncRNA
GAGAAGCUGGGAUCUAUUAGUGAUGUCUGCCCGGGGGUGGGCGAGGAGAGUGACGGCAAGUGUGCCGUGUCUUUGCCGUUUAUGAACUGGUUGCAUUUGAAGGCCCCUCUGGCUCUGAUGGCUCAUGAACCAGUGAUUCUAAGCAAUUGGAAGGCUCCACCAUGUGUUUGGAUUUAACAAGGGCCAUAGCCAAGGAGAGAAGUGAAAGACGGUGGGGACAUCAAGGCCAGCUGGUUUCUGACUGGUGUAUCCAUUCUCCCGGGGAUGGAAACCACCUGCUUCUGCCUGCCUUCCCGGUUCACUUAGGUGGGAAUGCUCUCUGGCCCUAGUGUGACUCAGUCUGACCGGUAAGAUCGUUGGAUUUGCUUGGUGUGUGUAUGUGCUGAAAUGACGUGAAAUGAGGCUUUUGCUGGAACCGCUGUUAGAGAGAGGCAGCAUUCUUCCCACUGACUCCGAACCUGGGAGGUUGCAGCUCGGGGCUUCCUGCCACGAUGGGUUGCCUGAGAAUGAGGCCAAUACGAAGGAGCACAAAGUCGAGAUGACAAGAGGCUGCGUGAUAGAGACAUCUUCGUAGCCCCUGGAUCCAGCCCUGCCUGAUGUGGAUUCUUGGAUUGUUUUGCUUACAAGAGCCGGUAAUAUCUUUUCCGCUUAAGUCAGUUUGAGACUUAAAGGACACGCCUAGAAUUAAUCUCAGUGAAACAGCAAGUCCUUUUUUGUCCGUCUGUUGUGAAAGGAGCUCUGCGCUGGACUGGUUGGAACGCGCUGCAUGCCAGGCCCCCUCUGCCGCCCCUUCCUCUUAAGACUGCAUGGCAGAGGGGGCUGGUUCUGGAGGCCCUGGGGAACUCAGCCCCCUCCAGCCUCCAGAGGAUAACGGUCCCUGAACUGGUUCCCACCACGAGGGAUGCCUUCCCUGAGGGCUCCCCGGUGGAUAAGGAGACAAAGCAAACCAGGGGGGCCUGGACCUGCUCUGAUGGACCCGACUGCUGAGUUCAGGAAGGGGCUCCAGGGAGUAACAUUCCAAAGUUUCUCCACCCAUUAAUUUACUCAGUCCUAUGAGAAAGGUUGAGAAAUUGCCUUCCCAUUUUAGUGAUGAGGAUCUGAAGCCCAGAAAAGCAAAAUGACUCACCUUGAGAGGCAGCCAGAAACCUGGGCUCCUGCCUCCCCACGAGAAGGCUGGGUUACAGGAGGCUGUGUGUCUGGGAG